rnacentral:rRNA from 1 species
UAACACGAUAUGCGGUUCACAGCAGGCAUCUAACGUGAACGAAAUGUGAAGGAGAAGGAUGGGGAUGCGUCUGAUUAGCUUGUUGGCGGGGUAACGGCCCACCAAGGCGACGAUCAGUAGGGGUUCUGAGAGGAAGGUCCCCCACAUUGGAACUGAGACACGGUCCAAACUCCUACGGGAGGCAGCAGUGAGGAAUAUUGGUCAAUGGACGAGAGUCUGAACCAGCCAAGUAGCGUGCAGGAUGACGGCCCUAUGGGUUGUAAACUGCUUUUAUAGGGGGAUAAAGUGUGCCACGUGUGGCAUAUUGCAGGUACCCUAUGAAUAAGGACCGGCUAAUUCCGUGCCAGCAGCCGCGGUAAUACGGAAGGUCCGGGCGUUAUCCGGAUUUAUUGGGUUUAAAGGGAGCGUAGGCCGUCUUAUAAGCGUGUUGUGAAAUGUCGGGGCUCAACCUGGGCAUUGCAGCGCGAACUGUGAGACUUGAGUGCGCAGGAAGUAGGCGGAAUUCGUCGUGUAGCGGUGAAAUGCUUAGAUAUGACGAAGAACUCCGAUUGCGAAGGCAGCCUGCUGUAGCGCAACUGACGCUGAAGCUCGAAAGCGUGGGUAUCGAGCAGGAUUAGAUACCCUGGUAGUCCACGCGGUAAACGAUGGAUGCUCGCUGUUUGCGUUCUGACGUAAGCGGC